rnacentral:rRNA from 1 species
CAAUAGCGUAUAUUUAAGUUGUUGCAGUUAAAAAGCUCGGAGUUGGAUUUCGGGUGGGACGCAGCGGUCUCGCAUUGCGUUUGUACUGCUGCAGCCCUCCUUCUUGCCGGGGGCGGCCUCUCGGACUUCACUGUCUGGGGGUCAGAAUCGGCGAUGUUACUUUGAGUAAAUUAGAGUGUUCAAAGCAAGCUUACGCUCUGAAUAUAAUAGCAUGGGAUAACACGACAGGACUCUGGCCUAUCGUGUUGGUCUAUAGGACCAGAGUAAUGAUUAAGAGGGACAGUCGGGGGCAUUCGUAUUCCGUUGUCAGAGGUGAAAUUCUUGGAUUUACGGAAGACGAACAUCUGCGAAAGCAUUUGCCAAGGAUGUUUUCAUUG